CUUCGGAUACCUCAUUUCGUUGUUUACAGUGCUCACACUGAACCAUAUGAAGGUGAAUUGUUCCUAAUACGAGAACCCGGCGACGUAUGGUUGUAAAAUGAGGUGACAGUUACAGCUCCCUUGAGUUCCUGUACGGGGUGCCAAGGAAUACCAUCUGCAACUUUGUUCCUUGUGUCUGUAAAGCCAUCUAUGAUGUACUUCAACAAGACUACUUGCAGGUUCCUACUACUGAACGUGACUGGUGCAACAUUCAGGACGAAUUCAUGGCAAAGUGGCAGUUCCCCCACUGGAUUGAUGCAAUUGAUGGCAAGCAUAUUGCAAUUCGGGCACCCAACAAUACAGGAUCUGUAUUCUUCAACUACAAGAAAUUUUUCAGUAUCAUCCUAUUGGCAUUGGUGGAUGCAAAUUGCAAAUUUAUAUUUGUAGAUGUGGGAGCCAAUGGCAGAGCUGGAGAUGCAGCAGUGUAUGCUAAUUCCCAGCUUUCCCAUGCUCUACAGCAUAACACAUUAAAUACUCCACAACCAACUCCCUU